CCGCACUAUAAACACCACCGCGCUGAAAUUGAACAAUAGAAACUCUCCGUGAAUUUCUAAUGGUUUUAAUGCUUAUAAUGGGAAUUCUAUCGCCUUUAAUGGAAACUUUUAUGGUCCCUGAGGGUUUUUUUAUUGCCAAUUUGUUGCUUUAUGGACUAUUAUGACGUCAUUAAGCAUCCAGAUUUCAUGGCAUGAAGUCCACAUGAUCCAGAUGUUUGUGGAGUUUCUCACACCCAUCAUCUGCAUGUUCCUGAGCAUCUGGCUUACGGCAGGACGUACUCUGACCUUCUCUACUGUUACAUUUCUGUCAAUCUAAAAAUCAUCCUUGUUCCCGACAUGGAUGAACUUCUCCUUCGUCAAUGUUGCUCUUCAAAAUCCGGUUCCUCGCAUAAAAAUGUACGCUCCUCUUCUAGUAUGUAACAGCUGAAGGACAAAACAAGACUCAAGGUCAGAUUCUUUGGCUUUGUGCACAGGAGCAUUGUCACUCUGGAACAGGUUUUGGGGUCUCCUAGUUUAAGUGAAGGGAAAAUAUGAAUGCUACAGCAUCCAAAGACGUCCUUUACAAUUGUGUCUCCAUUUCUGUAGUUAGAACCACAUAUGGCUGGAAAAUUCCGGUUUCCAAAUACGUUUGUGUGAACAGUCAACCCCCGAUAAUUUGCGGUUCGGAAAUUUAGCAGGUUCUGAUCUGGAACUAACGGCGAGUUGCAGAUGAUCUUAAAAUUUGCGGAAAUCUGCAGCGCUACGGAAUAUUCAGGAACGUUAGGAAUAACAUUUUAAACUGUUUUCAGUAACAAAAUUCAUGAAAUUUUAAAUAUACAUUAUUGUAUUAAAGUGACGUAACGUAUAGAGAUUUUAGGAUCUCGCUGGGGGUCUUAGAACGAAGUUCAGUAAAAUGAAGUGAUGUUUACAUGAUUUCAGUCUUUAUGGAUGUUUAAAACGACACAAGUUGACUAAAAGUGCUUUACAAUUCAAUCAAAGUACAACCUUUAUUCUUAUAAAGUUUCAUUAUAACAAUAAACAUAACGAUACUUUGAACGUUUACUGAUUUCACUCGACUGAUAAAAAUGUUCAAAAACUAAUGUAUGGAAAGAAAUAAAAGAGACUGAAGGUGAAA